rnacentral:rRNA from 1 species
ACUCAAAUGAAUUGACGGGGACCCGCACAACCGGUGGAGCGUGUGGUUCAAUUCGAGACAAAGCGAAAGACCUUACCAGGUCUUGACAUGCUACCGUACAGACACCUGGAAACAGGAGUUAAUCCGCAAGGAUGGUAGCACAGCUGCUGCAUGGCUGUCGUCAGCUCGUGCCGUGGGGUGUUCCCUUAAGUGGGAGAACGAGCGCAACCCGUAUCCAAUGUUAUAUGUUUCAUUGGGGACUGCCCCGUCCUUGAGCACAGAACUUUUUCUGUGUUGAAGGACGGGGAGGAAGGAACGGACGACGUCAAGUCAGCACGGCGCUUAUGACCUGGGUCACACACACCCUACAAUGGCGAAAAACAAUGGGAAGCUAAACCGUAAGGUCGAGCAAAUCCUCUGCAAAUUUCGCCUCAGUUCAGAUUGGGGUCUGCAACCCGACCCCAUGAAGUCGGAAUCGGUAGUAAUCGCAGAUCAGAAGGCUGCGGUGAAUACGUUCUCGGGUCUUGUACACACCGCCCGU